rnacentral:rRNA from 1 species
UACGUAGGGUGCAAGCGUUAAUCGGAAUUACUGGGCGUAAAGCGUGCGCAGGCGGUUUUGUAAGUCAGAUGUGAAAUCCCCGGGCUUAACCUGGGAACUGCGUUUGAAACUACAAGGCUAGAGUGUGGCAGAGGGGGGUGGAAUUCCACGUGUAGCAGUGAAAUGCGUAGAGAUGUGGAGGAACACCGAUGGCGAAGGCAGCCCCCUGGGUUAGCACUGACGCUCAGGCACGAAAGCGUGGGGAGCAAACAGG